CAGUUGAUGAAGUAUCUAAGUGUAAUAGUUCUAGUGUUGAAGUUAAUAAGAAGGCUAGGGUUCAUCCAUCUUCAAGCCAACCACCUCUAAAGUGUAAUAGCUCUACUGUUGGAAUUAAUAAGACGGCCAAGGUUCAGCCAUCUUCAAGCCAGCC